UACGGAGGGUGCAAGCGUUAUCCGGAUUCACUGGGUUUAAAGGGUGCGUAGGCGGCUAUAUAAGUCAGUGGUGAAAGCUUCCCGCUCAACGGGAAAACUGCCAUUGAAACUGCAUAGCUUGAAUAUGGUUGAAGUGGAUGGAAUAUAUCAUGUAGCGGUGAAAUGCUUAGAUAUGAUGUAGAACACCGAUUGCGAAGGCAGUUCACUAAGCCAUCAUUGACGCUGAGGCACGAAAGCGUGGGUAGCGAACAGG
rnacentral:rRNA from 1 species